AUACGGAGGAUGCGAGCGUUAUCCGGAUUUAUUGGGUUUAAAGGGUGCGUAGGCUGUGCGUUAAGUCAGGGGUGAAAUGCCGUCGCUCAACGACGGAGCUGCCCUUGAUACUGGCGUGCUGGAGUACGGAUGCCGUUGGAGGAAUGAGUGGUGUAGCGGUGAAAUGCUUAGAUAUCACUCAGAACACCGAUUGCGAAGGCAUCUGACGAAUCCGUCACUGACGCUGAUGCACGAAAGCGUGGGGAUAGAACAGGAUUAGAUCCCCUGGUAUUCCACGCCGUAAACGAUGAUGACUAACCGUCGGCGAUAGACAGCCGGUGGCCAAGCGAAAGCGAUAAGUCAUCCACCUGGGGAGUACGUCGGCAACGAUGAAACUCAAAUGAAUUGACGGGG
rnacentral:rRNA from 1 species